GAUGAACGCUAGCGGCAGGCUUAACACAUGCAAGUCGAGGGGUAUAUCACUUCGGUGAUAGAGACCGGCGCACGGGUGCGUAACGCGUAUGCAAUCUACCUUUUACAGGGGAAUAGCCCAGAGAAAUUUGGAUUAAUGCCCCAUAGUAUAUUUGAAUGGCAUCAUUUGAUUAUUAAAGUCACAACGGUAAAAGAUGAGAAUGCGUCCCAUUAGUUAGUUGGUAAGGUAACGGCUUACCAAGACGAUGAUGGGUAGGGGUCCUGAGAGGGAGAUCCCCCACACUGGUACUGAGACACGGACCAGACUCCUACGGGAGGCAGCAGAGAGGAAUAUUGGUCAAUGGGCGCAAGCCUGAACCAGCCAUGCCGCGUGCAGGAUGACGGUCCUAUGGAUUGUAAACUGCUUUUAUACGGGAAGAAACACCGAUUCGUGAAUCGGCUUGACGGUACCGUAAGAAUAAGGAUCGGCUAACUCCGUGCCAGCCGCCGCAGUAAGAC
rnacentral:rRNA from 1 species